rnacentral:tRNA from 1 species
GGUUUGUGGCUCAGUGGUAGAGCACUUGCCUAGCAUGUGUGAGGCACUGGGUUCAAUUCUCAGCACCA